rnacentral:rRNA from 1 species
UACGCAGGGUGCAAGCGUUAAUCGGAAUUACUGGGCGUAAAGCGUGCGCAGGCGGUUCUAUAAGACAGAUGUGAAAUCCCCGGGCUCAACCUGGGAACUGCAUUUGUGACUGUAGAGCUGGAGUACGGCAGAGGGGGAUGGAAUUCCGCGUGUAGCAGUGAAAUGCGUAGAUAUGCGGAGGAACACCGAUGGCGAAGGCAAUCCCCUGGGCCUGUACUGACGCUCAUGCACGAAAGCGUGGGGAGCAAACAGG